rnacentral:rRNA from 1 species
GUGGGGAAUUUUGGACAAUGGGCGCAAGCCUGAUCCAGCCAUUCCGCGUGCAGGAUGAAGGCCUUCGGGUUGUAAACUGCUUUUGUACGGAACGAAAAGGUUCUCUCUAAUACAGGGGGCUGAUGACGGUACCGUAAGAAUAAGCACCGGCUAACUACGUGCCAGCAGCCGCGGUAAUACGUAGGGUGCAAGCGUUAAUCGGAAUUACUGGGCGUAAAGCGUGCGCAGGCGGUGAUGUAAGACAGAUGUGAAAUCCCCGGGCUCAACCUGGGAACUGCAUUUGUGACUGGAUUGCUGGAGUGCGGCAGAGGGGGAUGGAAUUCCGCGUGUAGCAGUGAAAUGCGUAGAUAUGCGGAGGAACACCGAUGGCGAAGGCAAUCCCCUGGGCCUGCACUGACGCUCAUGCACGAAAGCGUGGGGAGCAAACAGGAUUAGAAACCCCUGUAGUCC